UUUUUUUAUAUAUGUAGUUUUAUAAGAAACUGUGAAUCCUACACUGGAAGGUUGAUGUUUUACAGUUCUCUUCCAAGUGUUAUGAGUCAAAGUUUCUGCAAUAAACCUCCAAGAAAAAUUUUG
rnacentral:precursor_RNA from 8 species